rnacentral:rRNA from 1 species
GAUGAACGCUAGCGGCAGGCCUAACACAUGCAAGUCGAGGGGCAGCACAUAAAGUGGUUUACUACUUUUGGUGGCGACCGGCGGACGGGUGCGUAACGCGUAUGCAACCUGCCUCCAACAGGGGGAUAACGGAGAGAAAUUUCCACUAAUACCCCAUAAUAUCAGAAUCGGCAUCGGUUUUGGUUGAAAACUCCGGUGGUUGGAGAUGGGCAUGCGUUGUAUUAGAUAGUUGGUGAGGUAACGGCUCACCAAGUCAACGAUACAUAGGGGGACUGAGAGGUUAGCCCCCCACACUGGUACUGAGACACGGACCAGACUCCUGCGGGAGGCAGCAGUGAGGAAUAUUGGUCAAUGGGGGCAACCCUGAACCAGCCAUGCCGCGUGCAGGAAGACGGCUCUAUGAGUUGUAAACUGCUUUUACAAGGGGAUAAAUCGGUGUACGUGUACACCGUUGAAGGUACCUUGGGAAUAAGGAUCGGCUAUCUCCGUGCCAGCCGCCGCAGUAA